UACGUCCUAUGUACAAGUCAGUCAGUUCAGUCCUCAUAUCUACUAAAAGCUACCUUUAUGCCCAAGGUGCUAGAUGAGAAGACAGGGCCCCUGCCCUGGUAGAGCUGAGUUGGGCCUGGUCUCAAAAUCCCGACUAGAGCCUGCUUUGUUUGCUCCUUGAAGGUGUUAGCCCAGCUCUCUUUUAUCUGCCCCUUCCCCAGGCUUUGGAGGAGAAGAUACGGACCACGGAGACACAGGUGCUUGUGGCAUCUGCACAGAAGAAGCUGCUAGAGGAAAGACUAAAGCUUGUCUCAGAACUGUGGGAUGCUGGGAUCAAGGCUGAGCUGCUGUACAAGAAGAACCCAAAGCUACUGAACCAGUUACAGUACUGUGAGGAGGCAGGCAUCCCACUGGUGGCUAUCAUCGGCGAGCAGGAACUCAAGGAUGGGGUCAUCAAGCUCCGUUCAGUGACGAGCAGGGAAGAGGUGGAUGUCCGAAGAGAAGACCUUGUGGAGGAAAUCAAAAGGAGAACAGGCCAGCCCCUCUGCAUCUGCUGAACUGAACAAACUAUCAGAGGAAAGGAAGUGGGACUGGCACUAUUUGAGGUUAAGACAAACUGCAUAUGUACUUCAAUUGCUUU
rnacentral:lncRNA from 10 species